UACAGAGGUCUCAAGCGUUGUUCGGAUUCAUUGGGCGUAAAGGGUGUGUAGGUGGCGCGCUAAGUCGGGUGUGAAAUUUCGGAGCUUAACUCCGAAACUGCAUUCGAUACUGGCGUGCUUGAGGACUGGAGAGGAGACUGGAACUCAUGGUGUAGCAGUGAAAUGCGUAGAGAUCAUGAGGAAGACCAGUGGCGAAGGCGGGUCUCUGGACAGUUCCUGACGCUGAGGCACGAAGGCCAGGGGGAGCAAACGGG
rnacentral:rRNA from 1 species